rnacentral:lncRNA from 1 species
GAAGAUCCACAUCAGUUUCGCGUCACAGAUCACCCUCUCCUAUGCGGCGUAGAUUGCGUUCUCCAGGGCGACGCAGAUCACAAACUCCUGUGCGACGUAGAUCUCCACGCAGGUCACCACCUGGAUGGCGUAGAUCCCGUUCACCUGGACGACGCAGAUCCCGUUCACCUGGACGACGCAGAUCCCGUUCUCCUGGGCGACGCAGAUCCCGUUCUCCUGGGCGACGUAGAUCCCGUUCUCCUGGGCGACGUAGAUCUCCAUCUCCUUUGCGGCGUAGAUCUCUAUCACCUGCAUGGCGUGGAUCCCCCCCUCCUUUGAGGCGCAGAUCACCAACGCCGAAACGACGUAGGUCACCAACUUAUAAGUUACCUUCUCCUGUUCGACGGUGGCGUCGAAGAUCUCCAACUCCCCGGCACAGGUCUCCAUCGCCAGUAAGACGUAGGUCUCCAAUACCUGCCCGUCGGAGAUCACCGUCUCCUUUUCGACGAAGAUCCCCUUCAUCAAAUGGAUGGAGUUCAUCCUCUCCUAU